rnacentral:lncRNA from 1 species
AAUUGAUUCAUCAAGUUCCAUGGAUUCAAGAAGAGUCUUUUCGGAACCAUCCAUAUAGCGGUGGCGGCGGAGAUCUGGAACCCGACAGGAAAACCGCCCGAGCCCUAAAUCAAAAUCACAAGAAAAUCAAAAAAAAUUGUUUAAAAGACUAAAAAUCUGAAAUACAUAAAUAUUUGAUGAUUAUAUAACCAAACUCACAUUCUACUAAAUCUGAAACACUAAAACAAAAUCACAAGAAAAUCGAAAAAAUUUAUUUAAAAGACUAAAAAUCUGAAACACAUAAAUAUUUGAUGAUUAUCUAACCAAACUCACAUAAAAAUCGAAAAAAUUGACGGAAAAUUCGUAAUAUAUAAAACCCGAAAUACAAGAUAAUCGGUGAUUUUAAAAAUAAAAUCAAUGUAAAUAUUACUAAAUAAUCAAAAUUACCUUUAACAAUUGAGAUAUUUCUUGAGUUAAGUUAGAGAUUUGUUGAACAAAUUAGGAAAAUCAUUCAUAAUUUGUAUUUCUUGACCUGCAAAGAAAUUUGAAGAAAGAGAAAAUAUAAAACUUGAAUGAUGGGGGAAAAGAAACGUGAAUGAUGG